rnacentral:rRNA from 1 species
AUUGAACGCUGGCGGCAUGCUUUACACAUGCAAGUCGAACGGUAACAGGCCGCAAGGUGCUGACGAGUGGCGAACGGGUGAGUAAUGCAUCGGAACGUGCCCAGUCGUGGGGGAUAACUACUCGAAAGAGUAGCUAAUACCGCAUACGAUCUAUGGAUGAAAGCGGGGGACCGUAAGGCCUCGCGCGAUUGGAGCGGCCGAUGUCAGAUUAGGUAGUUGGUGGGGUAAAGGCUCACCAAGCCAACGAUCUGUAGCUGGUCUGAGAGGACGACCAGCCACACUGGGACUGAGACACGGCCCAGACUCCUACGGGAGGCAGCAGUGGGGAAGUUUGGACAAUGGGCGCAAGCCUGAUCCAGCAAUGCCGCGUGCAGGAAGAAGGCCUUCGGGUUGUAAACUGCUGUUGUACGGAACGAAACGGCUCUGGUUAAUACCCGGGGCUAAUGACGGUACCGGAAGAAUAAGCACCGGCUAACUACGUG